GCACGAUUUUUUUUUUACAAAAUUCACUUCAUUUCAGCGUAUACUAUUCGUAAAUAUGAAUGUAUUAACGUAUAUCAAGAAUUACAUCAAGUCGAGUAUUUAUUAUGUACAACUUAUAAACACUGACAGGUUGUUUUUGUUAAUGUUUAAAUUAAGAUAUGAUCUUGUGCAUUCUUCAAUCUUCAUGUGUUAUAUUUAAGAUGAUGUAUUCUGAGCGUGCCCACACCAGGCAAGUUGAACAUUUUGCUUGACCGGCGUAGGGGGAAACAAACUUUUCAGCUUGCCUGCAUCAUCUUAAAUUUGACCGAUGAAGUAUAUGAACGCUAGACAGGUUCAGAUUUGACUUCUACUACCGCU